rnacentral:rRNA from 1 species
CGUGCCUAACACAUGCAAGUCGAACGAAGCGAUUUGGAGGAAGUUUUCGGAUGGAAUCCAAAUUGACUGAGUGGCGGACGGGUGAGUAACGCGUGGGUAACCUGCCUCACACUGGGGGACAACAGCUGGAAACGGCUGCUAAUACCGCAUAAGCGCACAGCUUCGCAUGAAGCAGUGUGAAAAACUCCGGUGGUGUGAGAUGGACCCGCGUCUGAUUAGCUAGUUGGUAAGGUAACGGCUUACCAAGGCGACGAUCAGUAGCCGACCUGAGAGGGUGACCGGCCACAUUGGGACUGAGACACGGCCCAAACUCCUACGGGAGGCAGCAGUGGGGAAUAUUGCACAAUGGGGGAAACCCUGAUGCAGCGACGCCGCGUGAGUGAAGAAGUAUUUCGGUAUGUAAAGCUCUAUCAGCAGGGAAGAAAAUGACGGUACCUGACUAAGAAGCCCCGGCUAACUACGUGCCAGCAGCCGCGGUAAUACGUAGGGGGCAAGCGUUAUCCGGAUUUACUGGGUGUAAAGGGAGCGUAGACGGCGAAGCAAGUCUGAAGUGAAAGCCCGGGGCUCAACCGCGGGACUGCUUUGGAAACUGUUUUGCUAGAGUGCUGGAGAGGUAAGUGGAAUUCCUAGUGUAGCGGUGAAAUGCGUAGAUAUUAGGAGGAACACCAGUGGC